GGGGAAUAUUGGGCAAUGGGCGAAAGCCUGACCCAGCAACGCCGCGUGAGGGGAGAAGGCUUUCGGGUUGUAAACCUCUGUCGCAGGGGACGAAAAAAAUGACGGUACCCUGUGAGGAAGCCCCGGCUAACUACGUGCCAGCAGCCGCGGUAAUACGUAGGGGGCGAGCGUUGUCCGGAAUUACUGGGCGUAAAGGGUGCGUAGGCGGCGAUUUAAGUUGGAUGUGAAAUCCCCGGGCUUAACCUGGGUGGUGCAUCCAGAACUGAAUGGCUAGAGUGCAGGAGAGGGAAGCGGAAUUCCUAGUGUAGCGGUGAAAUGCGUAGAUAUUAGGAGGAACACCAGUGGCGAAGGCGGCUUUCUGGACUGUAACUGACGCUGAGGCACGAAAGCGUGGGGAGCAAAC
rnacentral:rRNA from 1 species